ensembl:snRNA U6 U6 spliceosomal RNA
GUGCUCACUUGGGCAGCACCUAUGCUAAAAAGAGAACGAUACAGAGAAGAUCAGCACGGCCCCUGUGCAAGGAUGACAUGCACAUUCAUGAAGCGUUCCAUAUUUUU